CGGGAAAGUUUUAGUUGUCUUGUUGAUUGCAGGUUUGGCAUGGGCAUUCCCAGCCCUCCAACCUCCACCUCCCAGAAUCUGUGGUUCUCCUGAUGGUCCAACAGUUACCGGACCUAGAAUCAAACUUAGGGAUGGAAGACAUCUGGCUUAUAAGGAGCAUGGUGUAUCCAAAGAAACGGCCAAAUAUAAGGUCGUAUAUGCACAUAGCUUUAGUGCUACCAAAUAUGAUUCAGCUGUUGCACCCUUGGUAUGUCAUCAACUCUUUGUCAAACUUGUUCUUAUGCAUCCUUUUUGAGUAUAAUUGACCUGAGAUUAUAACGGCUUAUCGAUGUUUCUUUCAGGAAACACUUGAAGAAUUAGGGGCAUAUGUUGUCUCUUUUGAUAGACCUGGUUAUGGGGAAAGCGAUCCACAUCCAAAACGAACCAUACAAACUACAGCUUUGGAUAUGGAAGAGCUUGCUGAUCAACUCGGACUUGGCCCUAAAUUUUAUGUUAUGGGGUAUUCCAUGGGUGGUCAUUCAGUUUGGGGUUGCCUUAAGUACAUCCCUAAUCGGUAUGUAUGGAAAUCACUUUUCAUGAAUGAUAUGCUUCAUGAGAUCUUAUCCUUAACAUUCAACUGACAUGUCAUCAUUAUCAUAACUUGUCAGACAUAAAAUGUAAAAGACCUUAGAAUUAACAAACGAGGAGGAAGUUUUGAUUUAUAGCAAAGCAUUUUGAACAUGAAACCAACUGUUCUACAAAUAUAGCAGAUUGUUGUUUCACUUAACUGCUUGCCAUCUUCUCCUGAAAGGUAAGAGAGGUAUAACCGAAGCAGUGUAGAUCUCGGUAUUACACAACUCAACAACAACAACAUACCCAGUAGAAUCCCACAAGUGGGGUCUGGAGAGGGUAGUGUAUAUGCAACCUUACCCCUACCUUAUGUAGAUAAAAAGAUUGUUUCCGAUAGACACUCGACUCAGGUAAAGCAGAAUCAAAAAAAUAAGUGGAACAAAUACAGUAGCGAAAAAGCCAUGCUAAAAACAAUUAAAAUAGAACAAGUAGCAACAACAAAAUGUACGGUAACUGAAGCAAAGGAAACAAUAAGUAACACUAGAAUCGAAGAAUAUAACAGUAGGAGAGUAAUAAUAAUAAUAUUGGUCGGGGAACUAGACAAUACUCGAUUACUUACUAACAUUCUUCCCUAAUCCUUGACCUCCAUAUCUUCCUAUCUAGGGUCAUGUCCUCGGUAUUACACAACUUGAUAAAAUCAAAGUCCCUCUGAGCGAUAUAUACGCUACUUUCUUUUGGUUAUUGCUAUUCUAAACAACAGCAACAAGACUUCUAUUAUUCCUGUAUUCUCUGUUUUUGAUUGUUUGUUACAUCUUCUUUUGGUUCUAAUAGGUUAGCUGGAGCAGCUCUAGUUGCUCCCGUUGUCAAUUACUGGUGGCCUAACUUUCCUGCUAAUAUAUCCACAGAAGGAUACAAUCUACAGCUCCCACAGGACCAAUGGGCACUUCGAGUUGCACAUUAUGCGCCUUGGCUAGUCUACUGGUGGAACACUCAGAAGUGGUUCCCGUGCAAUAGUGUUAUAUCUGGAAAACCCAAAAUGUCUCCCCAAGAUUUAGAAGUUGUUUCCAAAUCUGCUAAGCAUUUAAGCAAAAGGCCAAAGCUUAAGGUAAUUGGUUUCUUACCUGAAUUUGGACAAUUUACUGUUAGAUUACUGUUACUUCAUGAUCCCUUGCAUGUGUUUGAUCCUUGUAAUAAAUUUACUGGGAGAAUUUGUAAUAGCUCGGAAUUUCGUCCCGGCUCAAAGUGAAUUGGAGUUCUAUUCCUGCUCGUUUUAAAUGUUUCUGUUCUUAGUGAAACAUUAGAAUGACCACAAGGGGUGAAAAAACCAUACAAGUUACAAUUUAUUUUUUAUAUAUUUGCUUGCCUAUGACCACUAGCAGCACGUUGUCUUGCUGUCUGUUCAUAUUAGUAGUCGCAGUAUUGUUCCUGUAGUUUCUUGUCCUUUGAUUUCUGUUACUAUAUGUUGUUCAUUGUACCUCGAUUAUCGUAUUGUUUUAAUGUAGUUUCUGUCCUGUUACUAUAUGUUGUUGUUGUUGUUAUCAUCUGGUGUUUCUUGUACUUCCGUUACUUCUUUUUCGGGACCUCUUUGGACUGUUUUUCCUUGAGUCGAGGGUCUAUCGGAAACAUUUGUACCUCUGAGAUAGGGGUAAGGUCUGCAUACACUCUACCCUUCCCAGACUCCACUGAAUAUGUUGUUGCCUAUGAUCUGUGGUAUUAUGUAACAUUUUUUCUUGUGGUUUUUGUUAUGCUCUUGAUAAAGAGCUUUUACGAGCGGAAGUUAAACGUAUCCUGCUAUUAGGGAGACGAACAAUACAGGCAAGGAAGUCAAAAGCGUUUUAGCGUAUUUGAUUACUAAAAGUAACAUAAACUAAGAGUUCUGUUCAUAUGCUUGUUGCUUAAUUAUAUGAUGAGGCAUUGUUGACUCAAAUGUUGCUCCUUUCAUCUAUAGGAAUAUGCUGUAAAACAAGGAGUAUUCGAGUCUCUCCACCGUGACAUGAUGGUGGGGUUCGGAAAAUGGGAUUUUGAUCCUAUGGAUCUUAAGAACCCUUUCCCAAAUGGUGAAGGUUCGGUCCACUUGUGGCAUGGUGACGAAGACUGGGUUGUACCUGUUAUGUUACAGCGUUAUGUUGCAGAAAGGCUUCCAUGGAUACAAUACCAUGAAAUGCCCAAUGUUGGACAUCUAGUUAUGCAUGAUCCAGCCAUGAAUGAGGUUAUCUGGAAGACAUUUUUGACUGGAGAGGAAGAACAAAUAGUGCAUUCUUAAAGAGGAAAACUGAAAUUAUCUAUUAAGCAAAAUCUUUCUAAAUAGUUCUUUGUAAGAAUUAUGUACAUCUUGUAAGAAUACCAAACCAUUAAAAAAUAUCCACAAUUUUUUAUGAAAUUAUGAAGGAGUUAUAAUUUGAUUGGAAUUUGCAACAGAGUUGUUUAGAAGUCUUGAAAUGUAAAUUAUUCAAAGGGUGACAUAGUAACUAGAAUUUGGACAGAACAAGAUACUUGAAGUUUAAAGGGAUUCAGAAGUAGUUAAUAUAAGGCAUAAUACAUAAACAUGACCCUUAACUUGGUUUCAACAGACAACUAUGCCUUCCAACUUUGAGUGUGCACAAGUAUGCACUAGAACUUGUAUAAAAUUGAACAAGUAGACACACAUGUCUCACAUGGCAUAACCUACCAAUCACCAAGCAACCCCCCCCCCACCCCUCUUCACCCCACUACCCCCAAAAUCCCAUUUGCAUAAUUAUUUAUCAAAACAUUUAGUCAUAAUACAUAAACAUGACCCUUAACUUGGUUUCAACAGACAACUAUGCCUUCCAACUUUGAGUGUGCACAAGUAUGCACUAGAACUUGUAUAAAAUUGAACAAGUAGACACACAUGUCUCACAUGGCAUAAUACAUGUAGGACACAAAAUUGCCACGUAGGGUGCCAUGUAGGACGAAUGUGUCUAUUUGUUCAAUUUUAUACAAGUUUAAGUGUCUACUUGUGCACACCCAAAGUUAAAGGUCAUAAUUGUCAAUUGACGUCAAGUUAAGGGUCAUGUUUAUGCAUUAUGAUGUUAAUAUAAUAUUGUUUUACUUAUGCACCGAAUACUUGAAAAACAUGGAGAUACUAAAUUUUCUCCUUCAAGGGAAUAGUAACUUGUGGUUUCCACAUCAAAAUAGUUUUUUUUCAUAAUUGAGAAAUAGAGUUACUACCACAUAGUUCGAAACAUGGUGGAUUAUUUAUCCAUUUCUAAUUUAAUACUAGGCCUUUAUUUGCGAUAAAGCUAAGAUCAAACUUGUGAUGUGCGUCUAAUUCAUUAAAAAUAUUGCUAAGUACAAUAAGGUCCAUGUAACUCAAUAUUAUACUAUAAUAAAUAGUAAUACACUUUCAAUAAAGUAUAUAUAUAUUAUAGUAAUACACUUCUAAUUACUUAAACAUUAGCAAUUAGAUGAAAACACCAAUUCUUUGAUUAUAAUAAUUUGUCAUUUUUUUUAUAAUAAAAAGAUUUGUACUUUGCUGUCAAUUUUUUUCUUCCCUGUAAUACAUGUUUAGAGGUAUAGGACAAGGAGGUGGUGGGAGACGACCACGAGAAGGGUAGGUGGGUGUAAACUUUUUUUUAUUAAAAAAUAAUCCACUAUGUAGAUUUUAGUAGAUAUAUUUUAUUAAAUGUAUAUAUAAUAUAUAAAGGUCAAUUACAUGAUGCAUUUUAUUAAAUGUAUAAUAUACAAAAGUCAAUUACACGUCAAGCAUGUGGAAUUUUUUUUUCUUUGUUAUUCAUCAACACUAUAUCACCUUCAAUUCUACCCACCACCAUUAUCAAUAUGAUUUUUUUUCUUCAUCACCUUCAAUUACCCAUCACCACCAAACUCAUAAAGUUGUCAUCACCACCAAAUUCAAAAAUUAAUUAACAAUCAAAAUUUCUUUAACAAAAUCAAAAAAGGAAAAAUAUAGAAACAAUCAAUUGAAACUUUUUUAGAUAAAAUAUAAUUAUUCACUAACAAAUCUAUGAAAAUUAACCUAAUUAUGAAUUAAAAAAAAUAAAGAAGUAAGAUGAAAAUAAAGAAUGAAGAAGAAAAUGAUAAGUGGGUGUGAAGAAGAAGAGACGUAGGCGGUAGGGUUGGUAAACGGAUUCUAAUUUAUUUAUUUUUACUUUUAUUUCAAACUGAUGCGUCUAUUUUUUAUUUUUGUUUUAUUUUUUUGCCACAUCAGUUAUAGGGCUUGAAAAAAACUCACUUUAAAAUAGUAUAUGUAUGUAAUAGAGCAUUGCGAUAAUUUAAGUGUGUAACUGAUUUUUCGAAGCAAAUUUGAGGAAUUUAUGUCUUUUCCCUUUUAAUUAUAAAGUUCAACAUAAAGCAAAAUGAGAAUGAUAAUGUACGCUACUACUUUUCAUACCAAAUUUGGUUUCUCCUUUCUGUCUCCAUUUAUUCAAAAGGUAGUUCACCCACCAUUAUUGACCUCUUCAAAAUCUUUAUAUACUUCUAACAAAUUCAAUCAAACAUCUGUCUUCUCACUCAUUAAAGCUCAACAUUUCAAUAUUCUCCCAACAAAGCCAUUUAAUCAUCUUCAAGAUUCCAUUUUUUUUCAUUCCAAUUCUAGUCAAGGUAUGUUACUGUACAAUUUGAAUACACCCAAUUUGUUAUCUUGUUUAGUAGUCAAUAAAUUAGGUUGAGAACCACGAUGUCUCAGGUUCAAACCCCGAGACAAAAACACCAGUUAAUUUAUUUUCAUUUGUCUUAACUUUGUGCAACUUUAGUGGACAGAGUUAGUUGGUACGGUAGAGAGGUGACAACUAUACUACUCCUUUCCUUUAUUUUUAUAUGUCAUUCCCUUCUGUAAAUAGUUGGACUAUAAUACUUGUCAUUUUAUAAAAUCAUUACGUAAAUUACCAUAUUCUUACUAUUAUACCCUUGAUAGAGUAGUUAAUUAGCCUUGAAAAUAUAUAUUUUGACCUACCUGGGAAAUCUAAUAAGUAAUUAUAUUCAUUGGAGUACUUCAUACAUUGAUUAAUUAUUCUCUCUCCAUUCACUAUUCUAUAAAAUCUGCUUUUGAAAAUAAACUCAAAAAUUUAAAUAGUCAUCCAAAUGCAUUUUAAUAUUUGAAAUCUAGCAUAUUCAUCAUUUAUUGAAAAGUUGACUUAAGAAAACAUUAAAUAAGGAUAAAAUGGUAAAGUUCCUUAAUUUCUUAAUGCAAGUGCAAUCUUAAAAUGUGACAUAUAAAAGGAACGGAGGGAGUAUGGAAUUAGUGGAGGUGAGCGCAAAUUGGCCCACAUAUAAUGAUUAUAAAAAAAAAAUAUGAAGAGGAGGAGAAUUUUGUUAAAAAGAGGAGAGGGUGUUACAGUAAGUUGACUUUUAGCAUAAAAAUAAUCAAAUUGAUCAGUUUCUAUUUACUGAAUUGUGGGGAAUGGUUUUAGAAGAUUCAUGCAACUACAUUGAUUGAGCAAAUGAUUUUUACUAAGGGGUUUCAAAAUACGAAAAAUCAAACAUACGAAGAUACCUUGACCUUAUGUAUAUACUUCAAUCUUUUUGAAGGAGGAAGUUUGGAUGAACCCUUGAGGUACCAUAGUAUUAGAAUUAUGAGAACGAGGAGGAUUAGAGUGGGAAUGUAGCCAGUUUUUGCGUGGCUGAGAAUGAAAUGUCUCUUGGCAAAGACAGAACUAGAUUUCGAGUUUAUAGGUUCAGGAUUCUAGAAAAGAUCACAGCUUUAUAGUUUCUUGUUUAAGAAAUUUAUAUUAUUAAGUGUAUUUUCAAAUACAUUAUCAUCUCCUUGCCACCUUCUAGGCAAAAUCUUUCCAGAAAUGUUCUGUUUUCUCAACUAAACCAUCAGUAUAUAUCUUAGGUUGCACUAUGUCAUCUACAUAUUCCAAUAAUAUUGUAAGAGUUAUGUCUACGUUGUGUUCAGGUAUGCUCGGGAAAGUUUUAGUUGUCUUGUUGGUUUCAGGUCUAGCAUGGGCAUUCCCAGCCCUCCUACCUCCACCUCCCAGAAUCUGUGGCUCUCCUGAUGGUCCAACAGUUACCGGACCUAGAAUCAAACUUAGGUAUGGAAGACAUUUGGCUUAUAAGGAGCAUGGUGUACCCAAAGAAACGGCCAAAUAUAAGGUCGUAUAUGCACAUAGCUUUGGUUCUACGAGAUAUGAGUCAGCUAUUGCAUCCUUGG
rnacentral:lncRNA from 1 species